rnacentral:rRNA from 1 species
CUACGUAGGUGGCAAGCGUUAUCCGGAUUUACUGGGUGUAAAGGGCGCGUAGGCGGGGGUGCAAGUCAGAUGUGAAAUCUAUGGGCUUAACUCAUAAACUGCAUUUGAAACUGUAUCUCUUGAGUGCUGGAGAGGUAGACGGAAUUCCUUGCGUAGCGGUAAAAUGCGUAGAUAUUAGGAGGAACACCAGUGGCGAAGGCGACUUUCUGGACUGUACCUGACGCUGAGGCGCGAAAGCGUGGGGAGCGAACAGGAUUAGAUACCCUGGUAGUCCGCGCAGUAAACGAUGAUGACUAACUGCCGGCCCGUUGCGGGUCGGUGGCCAAGCGAAAGCGAUAAGUCAUCCACCUGGGGAGUACGACCGCAAGGUUGAAACUCAAAGGAAUUGACGGG